rnacentral:rRNA from 1 species
CUUGGGUAAUCUCGGGCCGCAAUCUGGGACAAGCCCUGGAAACGGGGUCUAAUACCGGAUACUGAUCGCCUUGGGCAUCCUUGGUGAUCGAAAGCUCCGGCGGUGCAGGAUGAGCCCGCGGCCUAUCAGCUUGUUGGUGAGGUAAUGGCUCACCAAGGCGACGACGGGUAGCCGGCCUGAGAGGGCGACCGGCCACACUGGGACUGAGACACGGCCCAGACUCCUACGGGAGGCAGCAGUGGGGAAUAUUGCACAAUGGGCGAAAGCCUGAUGCAGCGACGCCGCGUGAGGGAUGACGGCCUUCGGGUUGUAAACCUCUUUCAGCAGGGAAGAAGCGAAAGUGACGGUACCUGCAGAAGAAGCGCCGGCUAACUACGUGCCAGCAGCCGCGGUAAUACGUAGGGCGCGAGCGUUGUCCGGAAUUAUUGGGCGUAAAGAGCUCGUAGGCGGCUUGUCGCGUCGGUUGUGAAAGCCCGGGGCUUAACCCCGGGUCUGCAGUCGAUACGGGCAGGCUAGAGUUCGGUAGGGGAGAUCGGAAUUCCUGGUGUAGCGGUGAAAUGCGCAGAUAUCAGGAGGAACACCGGUGGCGUAAGGCGGAUCUCUGGGCCGAUACUGACGCUGAGGAGCGGAAAGCGUGGGGAGCGAACAGGAUUAGAUACCCUGGUAGU